rnacentral:rRNA from 1 species
AUUGAACGCUGGCGGCAUGCUUUAUACAUGCAAGUCGUGCGGCAGCGCGGGGGCAACUCUGGCGGCGAGCGGCGAACGGGUGAGUAAUACAUAGGAACGUAUCCUGAAAUGGGGGAUAGCUCGGCGAAAGCCGGAUUAAUACCGCAUACGCUCCACGGAGGAAAGCAGGGGAUCGCAAGACCUUGCGUUUCUGGAGCGGCCUAUGUCUGAUUAGCAGUUGGCGGGGUAAUAGCCCACCAAGGCGACGAUCAGUAGCUGGUCUGAGAGGAUGAUCAGCCACACUGGGACUGAGACACGGCCCAGACUCCUACGGGAGGCAGCAGUAGGGAAUUUUGGACAAGUGGGGCAACCUGAUCCAGCCAUGCCGCGUGAGUGAAGAAGG